GCUAAUGAGGAUUUGUUGGAUAGUAAAUGAGGUGUGGUGAAGUCAAGUUCCUGCUUCUGCAGGAUGAACCUCUUGAUGAAUCCAUACUAAUAUGAUCACAAUUCAUUGACUGAAGC
rnacentral:snoRNA from 1 species